rnacentral:lncRNA from 1 species
AUCCUCAGAGCACAGUACUCAAGAUGAAGCGUUUGACGGUGAUCUGAAGAUCUCUGGCGCAGGUCUGUGCUCCGAUCGCUGCUCAGGGAACUUUUGGGAGAAGUUCCUCAGCCGGAAGGGGGCCCGAAUCCCUUUUGAGUAUCUUCUCUGUAUCGUUAUUUGGUUGAUUGAGUUCUUUGGUUGUUUUAGAAUUAGGAUUUGGGAUUAUCUUGUUCUGUAAUAUGUACUGGAUAGCUCUCUGCUGAUAGUGGAUUCGGGUUGAGUCUUCCCUCUCUGAGGCUCCAUUGAGUAGGAGUUUUCUCUGAACAACGUCAACAAAUCUCCAUAUCUUUUACUUUCUGCAUUUAGUUUUUCAGUUCUAUACUUGUGAGCCGAAACUUUGUGUUGGUCUGUGAUUAAACUCGCUCCUCCGCCGCUACGUUUGAUACCACUUU